rnacentral:tRNA from 1 species
GGGGAUGUAGCUCAGUGGUAGAGCGCAUGCUUUGCAUGUAUGAGCCCCGGGUUCGAAACCCGGCAUCUCCA